rnacentral:rRNA from 1 species
GGCCUACCAAGCCGAUAAUCGGUACGGGUUGUGAGAGCAAGAGCCCGGAGAUGGAUUCUGAGACAUGAAUCCAGGCCCUACGGGGUGCAGCAGGCGCGAAAACUUUACAAUGCGGGCAACCGCGAUAAGGGGACCUCGAGUGCUGGGUUACAAACCUGGCUGUUGGGCUGCCUAAAAAGCAGUCUAUAGCAAGGGCCGGGCAAGACCGGUGCCAGCCGCCGCGGUAACACCGGCGGCUCGAGUGGUAACCGCUAUUAUUGGGUCUAAAGGGUCUGUAGCCGGCCGACUAAGUCUCUUGGGAAAUCUGGCAUCUCAAGUGUCAGGCUGCCAGGGGAUACUGGUCGGCUUGGGACCGGGAGAGGUGAGAGGUACCUCGGGGGUAGGGGUGAAAUCUUGUAAUCCUCGAGGGACCACCAGUGGCGAAGGCGUCUCACCAGAACGGAUCCGACGGCAAGGGACGAAAGCUAGGGGCACGAACCGGAUUAGAUACCCGGGUAGUCCUAGCCGUAAACGAUACUCGCUAGGUGUCGGCCACGGUGCGACCGUGGUCGGUGCCGUAGGGAAGCCGUGAAGCGAGCCACCUGGGAAGUACGGCCGCAAGGCUGAAACU